AGUCCGGUCUCUGCUUUUGGAGCGCGUGGGCUCUGCGAGCGCCAGGGCUGGGGACCCUGGAAUACCUGUUCCUCCAGCACGAGGAUGGGGUCCAACUAGUGGUCCUCUAAAUCCUGCUCCUUCCCCGAGGCUACGGGAAGCGCUCCAGCCACAAGGAAACGGCUCCAGUCUUUCGGCUCCCAAACGUGACACUCUAUAUAUCCGGCUCGGAGACUGGGUGUGGGGCGGGAGGAAACCACCCUCCCUCCGACCUUCCCCGGCUCCGCCGCUGCCUCGGCACUGGGCGCGAAACCGGCGGCAGCCUCAGCCCGGGGCGGGAGGAGGGUGAGGGGCCAGCGAAGGCCCUACAGGUCGCGGGGGCGACAGCAUCGUGGGCAGGGCGGCCGCGCGCGCAGGCCCGCCCCGCGCUUCCAUUCGUUCAGCACCAGCGGAUCCACUGGCUAUGACUCCCGCAUUUGUGUGGUUUGGGGGAGGGGAGUUGGUUUUGGUUUCGGUGGGUUUGGUUUGUUUGUUUGUUUGGGGCUUUUGUUUUGUUUUGUUUUGGGUUUUGGGGUUGGUUUUUUUCUCCAUUUUUUAAUCAGUGGGCGAGGGGACAAGGAAGCUAGAAAGGCGCCCCUCUCUGGUGUGGGAAAGGAGAACUCCCACACCGUGAAAGGUGGCGGGGUAGGGGGGUGGAGGGAGAGACCGAGACAGGAGAGAGAUUCAAAGGUUCUAGUCUGAACUGAACGCUUGGGGGACAUACCUUUCCCCACCCACCCUAGCAGAAAAGGCAGCCAAAAAUCCCAGUUUACUCAGCUUGACUACACUGCACAUCCCGUGGGAGGGAUGCUCUUGUAUCUGCUAAAGACAUUGCGGAGGCGCCCUGCAGUGACCCACGAACGCAGUGGCUUUUUAAAACCCAAGGGCGUGAGGGUGGAGGGUGAUGCGAGGACUUCAGGAGAGGCCCUAAGGUAACUUCUGAGGGCAUGGGACUUGGCGGUAAAAACAGAGAAGGUGCUGUGGACCCCAUUUUCGGAAGAAAACUGUUUUCCUCACAGAAUCCCAGGAAUUGAAAGCUGAUGGAUACCUCUCAAAAUCUGUUUUUGUCUUCUGGCUAUGCCUGUUUAUUAGGCUGUAGAAAUUGCAUGCUCUCCUAGCGGUGCUUUUGAAAGCCUCCAUCCUGAGGCCAAUAAUCCAAUUAUGAGAUUGGCAAAUGAAAAAUCUUACAAUUACUGUAUCUUCUUCUAUCUGUCUGUAUAGUUAUAUAUGUGUUAUAUGUGUGAUAUUUAUAAAAAAGAGCUCUAAUUGAUUAGCCUAAAGAAAAACAAGUGCUUAGACCAAAUAUUUUGAAGGAAAAAUAAAAGCUGUAAUGCCUUUUAGUUCACGUGACUUUAAUCUUUGAGAAAUAAAA
rnacentral:lncRNA from 1 species